rnacentral:rRNA from 1 species
GGGGAAUAUUGCACAAUGGGCGAAAGCCUGAUGCAGCGACGCCGCGUGGGGGAUGACGGCCUUCGGGUUGUAAACCCCUUUCAGUAGGGAAGAAGCGAGAGUGACGGUACCUGCAGAAGAAGCGCCGGCUAACUACGUGCCAGCAGCCGCGGUAAUACGUAGGGCGCAAGCGUUGUCCGGAAUUAUUGGGCGUAAAGAGCUUGUAGGUGGCUUGUCGCGUCUGCCGUGAAAACCCGAGGCUCAACCUCGGGCGUGCGGUGGGUACGGGCAGGCUAGAGUGUGGUAGGGGAGACUGGAACUCCUGGUGUAGCGGUGAAAUGCGCAGAUAUCAGGAAGAACACCGAUGGCGAAGGCAGGUCUCUGGGCCAUUACUGACACUGAGAAGCGAAAGCAUGGGUAGCGAAC